CAGAGCUGUGGAGUGUGACAAUGGUGUUUGUGUCCAAUCUAUCAAACGCCAUUAUCACACUAAAUAGCUACUG
rfam:Chelonia mydas contig253214, whole genome shotgun sequence.